rnacentral:rRNA from 1 species
CCGUCCUACGGGGCGCAGCAGUGGGGAAUAUUGGACAAUGGGGGAAACCCUGAUCCAGCGACGCCGCGUGAGUGAAGAAGGUUUUCGGAUUGUAAAGCUCUGUUAGCAGGGAAGAGGAAGGACGGUACCUGCAGAGGAAGCCACGGCUAACUACGUGCCAGCAGCCGCGGUAAUACGUAGGUGGCAAGCGUUGUUCGGAAUAACUGGGCGUAAAGGAUGCGUAGGCGGUUAAACAAGUUAUAUGUUAAAUAUAUAGGCUUAACCUGUAGACAGCAUAUAAAACUGUUUAACUAGAGUGCAGGAGG